CUCUCUCUCUCUCUCUCUCUCUGCAAGUCACUGUUUGUGUGUGUGUGUGUAAAGGCGCUGUGUCGCCUCCUGCUGGUCGGGCUAGAGCAUUGCACACGUGUCUAUCUUGGUAAAUGUACUUUAAUAUACUUUUUAAUCUUGUUAAUUCUCAUAGAUUUCCAUAUAAUUCAUUAAGGAUUAUCAAUUAAACACUAUUUUGAACAUUUAUUAUCUGUUAAAAAAAGAUUAAGUGAUAUAUGAAGAUGUAAUUAUUAUUAUUAUUAUUAUUAUUAUUAUUAUUAUUAUUAUUCACAGGAUCUGUCUAUGAUUAUUGCAGUUUGAUGCUUUAUUGUGGUUAAGUGUAAUUAUUUGCUCAAUUAAUCCCUGCAACACUUGAAUGUAUUCAAAUGUAUGUAUAUUGAAUGUAGGAAAACACAGAUUGUUUCAGAGGAAAGGUUCCGGUAGGUUCUCUACUACAUCCGGUUCUCAGCGGUGAGGUUCUGGAGCUUCAGGGCUGUAGGUGAAUAAACUAUUACUGAAUUGAGAGAACAAAUUCUGAUCUAAAUAAUGAUAAGAAGGAAAAAUACAGUUCCACUACUCACAUUCAGUCGGUGCUUGGCCCCCUAAUAACGACACGGUGGAGCCUCCAGAGAAAAUGGCCAGUGUAAAAGGAUUUACUGAUCUGACCACAUGGCCUCCACAAUUCUCGGUAUUUUGGAACAUUUUAUAUUCAAAUAUCAUUUUAUUUGUCUUUCCCUCUGUGUCUUCAUGAUUUCCUUUAUGGAUUAAUGAUCUCCGUGUGCUAUUUAAAUCAUUAAGAAUAAAAACACAGGAUGACAUAGAACAAAUAAUUGGGCCUGGCAUCCAAUCAGGGUUUACCUCAUUAGCAUAACAGCAAAGACGUCUGGGAACUGGGAUGCUACCAUGGACUCCUUAAGCGGGAGUCUUUUAUCUUUCCAAAGAGACCUGUCUGAGAGAAUGAGGAGGACAGGAGGAAGGUGGAGGAGGGCGAGUGACCAGUGGUAGUGUGGGUGAGAGGUUUUUAUACACGUCUGUACACACCACUGCCUUCAUCGCACCUUCAUACUGCUACAGCACCACUUUAUAUUCUUAAACCUGCCAAAAUACAGAUUAGACCCAGAAGGUUCAGUAACCACAACACUGACACUUACUCUCAUCUAACAUUCCUCAUAUCGGCGUCGGGUCCGGGUUUCUUCUCAUUAGCAUUAUGCACCCGUACCCGUUCCUUCUGCGGCGUGGUGGAUAGAGAGUGCCGGUACGGCGGCUCCUGAUGAUUCAGGUUCUUAUCUGGUUCAAGAAUAAACUGUGCUGUUGUAUUGUGAAGUGUUUCAUGAAGUCCAAAAAACACACACACAUGGUUGCUGUUCUUGCGGUGUAGCGGUCAGUGUUGGUGGUCCAGAAGGUGUGGGUUCUCGUCUGUGUUUUGGUUGGUUCGAGACUAAAAGUUGCUGCGUCUUCUUGAAGUUAUAACAACAGAAGUAUAACACACUAGACCUGGUUUAGUCCUUCUGUGGUGUAGUGGUUAGAGUUUGUGUCACUGUUGGGUUCUUCUAGAAGCUGUUGGUUCGGUUCUGCCUUUUGGCUGAUGUAAAUCUAAAAGUUUCUGUGGCCUCAAGAGGUGAAUUUUUGACGACAAAAGUCCAACACACAGCUUGCACACUGGCCCUCGGUGGUGUAGUGGUUAGUGGGGCAGCGAUUAUGGUGUAGUUUGUGCAGGUUCAAACCCUCUUUUUGGCAGGUUUUAGAAUAAACUGUGCUGUUGCAUUGUGAAGUUCAAAAAACACACAGUCGCACACAGGUGUUGUCUCUGUUCCUCUUUGGUGUAAUGAAAAUCCAACCAGAGUUAUCAGUUAAUGGGGAUGGGAUGAGUGUGUGGGUUGGGCUAAUGGGAGUGUAGGCUGGGCUAAGGGGAUGGGAAGAGUGUGUAGGCUGGGAUGGGAAGAGUGUGUCGGCUGGGCUGAGGGGAUGGGAGGAGUGUGUCGGCUGGGCUGAGGGGAUGGGAGGGUUGUAUAGGAUGAGGGGAGGAUUGGAGUGUGAAGAUGAGAGAGGGCAGACUAGCAUGAGGGGAUGGGAGGAGUGUGUAGUUAAGGUUAGGUUGAAGUGUCAAAGGGAGGGUUAGGCAAGCCUAGGGUGUGAAGGCAAGCCUAGGGGAGGGGUAGUGUGUGAAGGUUAGCUGAGAGUAGGGUUAGAGUGUCAAGGCUAGGGUGAAGGCAAGCCUAGAGGAGGGUUGGAGUGUGAAGGUGAGAAAGAGGAGCAGAGGGUGGAGAGUGCACACCCCUGAAUGUAGACUAGGAAUGUGUGGAUGAGGGGUGUGCACUUGGGGGUGGCGGAUGGGGUGGAGGCAGGCAGGAAGAAGUGUGUAGGUUGGACAAAGGGGAUGGGGGUAGGGUGUAGUCAAGGUUAGGUUGGAGGGUCUAGGGUGAAGGCAAGCCUAGGGGAGAGGUAAAGUGUGUAGAUUAGCUGAGGGGAGGGACAGAGUGUGCAGACUAGAAGGAGCAGCAGAGGGUGGAGAGUGCACACCCCUGAAUGUAGACUUGGAAUGUGUGGAUGAGGGGGAGGCAAGGAGGGGUGGGAGCAGGGAGGCAAGGAGGGGUGGGAGCAGGGAGGCAGGCAGCAAGGUGGUCAUAUUUUAAGUCAAAGUUAUAGUCAUGAAAACCGGUAUUGUUUACCAUGUCCAUUGAUGAGGUCACUAGAAUGAGAAUUUUAUGUGGGGAACACGGACGAGUGGAGCGAUACACACAGUGAAACGUCUCAGUGUGGUUCUACUAAAUAUAAGCACGCUUGGAUUUCCGUUCGUCCAAUCACAUCAGUGGACCACAACUAACUCUUGUAUAACUUGCAAAUAGAUGACAUGAGUUCCACAAAUAUAAAAGUAAGAUCCACAAAUAAACAGAAAGUGAUCCACAAAGAAAUGAAAUAAGACGCACAAAUAUUUUUGCAAUUAUAUAAAAAUUUGUAAUUGUAGUAGUAAUCAUCAUAUCAACUAUUGUAAAUCUGGUUUAAUUGAACAUUAUUCAGCAGCUUAUAAAUAGCACUUGAUCCAGAAUAUCCUAUUAUUUAAAAAAAAAAAAAAAAAAUAGUGCACAAACAGCACAACCUAAUAAAGAUAUUAAACCACAAGAUAUUACCUCAAGUUGCUAUUUUAGCAUUUUAACAAUAUUGAUUUUUUUUUUAUUUUAAUAAAGUUGUUACACUCUCAUGUAAAGAAAACAUGCCUGUAUUUUGAUGUAUAAACUGACCAAUCACUCAUCUACUAUGCUUAUAGCGCAGUUUCAAUGUGUGUUGUACAUCAUUUUAUCCAAUAAAUAUCAUGUAUUUAUAUUUUAAUGAUAUCUAAACCUGAUAUAUCCGAUAUAUGAAUAUGGUCCAUAAUUUCAACAACAAAAAAAAUUUUCAGGUCACUAUGAGAAAUGUUGAAGUAAUGCAUUUAGUUUACAUCCAGAACGCAUCCCAGGAAACAUUCACUGGAAACUCCUUCUGGAGGAAAAAAACUCCAUUGCUACUGAAAACACAUCAGCUGCCUGUGUGGGCAUCGUUGGUUCUGAAGCUGUACUCACCUCCGUUAACAUGUUGAGAAUAAACAAUACAAAUCCUGAUAGUACCAAUAGAAUAACAACAAGCUCCAAUCUGGGUAUGUGUCUGUCCAGGACUGGGUGCCAGGAUCACAACACACAGUGCCGGUUAGCCAUCAGCAAAUCUCACAAGGGACAGCUUCAACAAACUGAGAGAGAGCAAAGGACAUAAAACACAAAUGAACAUUGCUGUGCGUUUAUGACUUUUCCCCAAUGAGUUGCAGGCAUGAUUUGAUUAGGAAUUUGG
ensembl:lncRNA